rnacentral:rRNA from 1 species
GUGUCAGCCGCCGCGGUAAUACGGAGGGGGCUAGCGUUGUUCGGAAUUACUGGGCGUAAAGCGCGCGUAGGCGGACCUGCAAGUCGGGGGUGAAAGCCCGAGGCUCAACUCCGGAACUGCCUUUAAGACUGCAUCGCUAGAAUUGUGGAGAGGUGAGUGGAAUUCCGAGUGUAGAGGUGAAAUUCGUAGAUAUUCGGAAGAACACCAGUGGCGAAGGCGACUCACUGGACACAUAUUGACGCUGAGGUGCGAAAGCGUGGGGAGCAAACAGGAUUAGAAACCCUGGUAGUCC